rnacentral:rRNA from 1 species
ACGGGUGAGUAACGCGUAGGAAUCUACCUGGUAGUGGGGGACAACGUCUCGAAAGGGACGCUAAUACCGCAUACGCCCUAAGGGGGAAAGGGGGGGAUCUUCGGACCUCUCGCUAUCAGAUGAGCCUGCGUCGGAUUAGCUGGUUGGUGAGGUAAAGGCUCACCAAGGCGACGAUCCGUAGCUGGUCUGAGAGGAUGAUCAGCCACACCGGAACUGAGACACGGUCCGGACUCCUACGGGAGGCAGCAGUGGGGAAUAUUGGACAAUGGGGGCAACCCUGAUCCAGCCAUGCCGCGUGUGUGAAGAAGGCCUUCGGGUUGUAAAGCACUUUAGGGGGGGAGGAAGGUCCCAAAGCGAAUACCUUUGGGAAUUGACGUUACCCCCAGAAUAAGCACCGGCUAACUCCGUGCCAGCAGCCGCGGUAAUACGGAGGGUGCAAGCGUUAAUCGGAAUUACUGGGCGUAAAGCGCGCGUAGGCGGUUAGGUAAGUCGAUUGUGAAAUCCCCGGGCUCAACCUGGGAAUUGCAGUCGAGACUGCCUGACUAGAGUGUGGGAGAGGGUGGUGGAAUUCCCGGUGUAGCGGUGAAAUGCGU